rnacentral:rRNA from 1 species
UACGUAGGGUGCGAGCGUUAAUCGGAAUUACUGGGCGUAAAGUGUGCGCAGGCGGCAGAGCAAGUCGAGUGUGAAAGCCCCGGGCUUAACUUGGGAAUUGCGCUCGAAACUACUUUGCUGGAGUGUGGCAGAGGAAGGUGGAAUUCCACGUGUAGCGGUGAAAUGCGUAGAGAUGUGGAGGAACACCAAUGGCGAAGGCAGCCUUCUGGGCCAACACUGACGCUCAUGCACGAAAGCGUGGGGAGCAAACAGGGA